GAUGAACGCUAGCUACAGGCUUAACACAUGCAAGUCGAGGGGAAACGAUAUUGGAAGCUUGCUUCCGAUAGGCGUCGACCGGCGCACGGGUGAGUAACGCGUAUCCAACCUGCCCACCACUUGGGGAUAACCUUGCGAAAGUAAGACUAAUACCCAAUGACGUCUCUAGAAGACAUCUGAAAGAGAUUAAAGAUUUAUCGGUGAUGGAUGGGGAUGCGUCUGAUUAGCUUGUUGGCGGGGUAACGGCCCACCAAGGCGACGAUCAGUAGGGGUUCUGAGAGGAAGGUCCCCCACAUUGGAACUGAGACACGGUCCAAACUCCUACGGGAGGCAGCAGUGAGGAUAUUGGUCAAUGGACGGAAGUCUGAACCAGCCAAGUAGCGUGCAGGACGACGGCCCUA
rnacentral:rRNA from 1 species